UUCCGGUUGAUCCUGCCGGACCCGACUGCUAUUUGGGUGAGGAUAAGCCAUGCGAGUUGAAUGGGAUACCUAAAAAUCCCAUGGCAAACUGCUCAGUAACACAUGAUCAACUUACCCUAUAGAGAAAAAUAACCCCGGGAAACUGAGGAUAAUGUUCCAUAGUUGAAUCGGCUUGGAAAAGUUUUUCAAUAAAAGGGAUAAGAAAAAUGGUUCUUAUCUGCUAUAGGAUAGGAUCGUGCUCGAUUAUGGUUGUUGGUGAGGUAAAGGCUCACCAAGCCGAUAAUCGAUAGGGGCCGUGAGAGCGGGAGCCCCGAGAUGGGUACUGAGACAACGACCCAGGCCUUACGAGGCGCAGCAGGCGCGAAACCUCCGCAAUACACGAAAGUGUGACGGGGUUACCCAAAGUGUUCUAUUUAGAACUGUGGUAGGUGAGUAAUGUCCCCUACUAGAAAGGAGAGGGCAAGGCUGGUGCCAGCCGCCGCGGUAAAACCAGCUCUUCAAGUGGUCGGGAUAAUUAUUGGGCUUAAAGUGUCCGUAGCCGGUUUAGUAAGUUCCUGGUAAAAUCGGGUAGCUUAACUAUCUAUAUGCUAGGAAUACUGCUAUACUAGAGGGCGGGAGAGGUCUGAGGUACUACAGGGGUAGGGGUGAAAUCUUAUAAUCCUUGUAGGACCACCAGUGGCGAAGGCGUCAGACUGGAACGCGCCUGACGGUGAGGGACGAAAGCCAGGGGAGCGAACCGGAUUAGAUACCCGGGUAGUCCUGGCCGUAAACGAUGCAUACUAUGUGAUGGCACGGCCAUGAGCCGUGUCAGUGCCGUAGGGAAACCGUUAAGUGUGCCGCCUGGGAAGUACGGUCGCAAGGCUAAAACUUAAAGGAAUUGGCGGGGGAGCACCACAAGGGGUGAAGCCUGCGGUUCAAUUGGACUCAACGCCGGAAA
rnacentral:rRNA from 1 species